AACUUAAUAAUUCCAUCGAGGGAUGUCUACAUUAUGAUAAAUACUGCUGUCAAAUACACAGUCAAAAGAUUUCGACAAAACUCUAUGAUAGAUGUCGAAAUGCCGUCAACACAAUUUGAGUUUGUUCUAAGCAAUACAACUGUUACAGUUCUUCAUGAACCAUCAUCUAAUUUUAUUGGGGUCGUGUUCUUGGUUAUACACAAGUUACCCUCGUUGAUAAAAACAUGAAAGAUCAAAUAUCUACAAGACAACCAACAGCUUAUAUUUAUGUUGAUGAACCUCAUCUAGCGUGUUCGUGUGACGUCACUGAGCGCAAGUUGUGACGUUUGCAAGGCAAAACUUUUGGCGCCAAAUUUUGUUUUCAAACACGAAACGACGUUAAAAUUUCAAAACUUGGGCGAAGAAAUUGCGUUAGAAAAGGAUUUGGAAAAAUUCUUAUUGAUUUCAUUGAAUGAAAGAGUUAAAGCACAUUUACCUGUGACGUUUUACACGAGUUGUACAUGUUUAAGUUUUGAUU